rnacentral:rRNA from 1 species
UACGUAAGGUGCAAGCGUUAAUCGGAAUUACUGGGCGUAAAGCGUGCGCAGGCGGUUUUGUAAGUCUGACGUGAAAGCCCCGGGCUUAACCUGGGAAUUGCGUUGGAGACUGCAAGGCUUGAAUCUGGCAGAGGGGGGUAGAAUUCCACGUGUAGCAGUGAAAUGCGUAGAGAUGUGGAGGAACACCGAUGGCGAAGGCAGCCCCCUGGGUCAAGAUUGACGCUCAUGCACGAAAGCGUGGGGAGCAAACAGG